UACGAAGGGGGCUAGCGUUGCUCGGAAUCACUGGGCGUAAAGCGCACGUAGGCGGACUCUUAAGUCAGGGGUGAAAUCCCAGGGCUCAACCCUGGAACUGCCUUUGAUACUGUCGAUCUGGAGUAUGGAAGAGGUGAGUGGAAUUCCGAGUGUAGAGGUGAAAUUCGUAGAUAUUCGGAGGAACACCAGUGGCGAAGGCGGCUCACUGGUCCAUUACUGACGCUGAGGUGCGAAAGCGUGGGGAGCAAACAGG
rnacentral:rRNA from 1 species